AUUGAACGCUGGCGGCAGGCCUAACACAUGCAAGUCGAGCGGAUGAAGGGAGCUUGCUCCUGGAUUCAGCGGCGGACGGGUGAGUAAUGCCUAGGAAUCUGCCUGGUAGUGGGGGAUAACGUCCGGAAACGGGCGCUAAUACCGCAUACGUCCUGAGGGAGAAAGUGGGGGAUCUUCGGACCUCACGCUAUCAGAUGAGCCUAGGUCGGAUUAGCUAGUUGGUGGGGUAAAGGCCUACCAAGGCGACGAUCCGUAACUGGUCUGAGAGGAUGAUCAGUCACACUGGAACUGAGACACGGUCCAGACUCCUACGGUAGGCAGCAGUGGGGAAUAUUGGACGAUGGGCGAAAGCCUGAUCCAGCCAUGCCGCGUGUGUGAAGAAGGUCUUCGGAUUGUAAAGCACUUUAAGUUGGGAGGAAGGGCAGUAAGUUAAUACCUUGCUGUUUUGACGUUACCAACAGAAUAAGCACCGGCUAACUUCGUG
rnacentral:rRNA from 1 species